rnacentral:rRNA from 1 species
UACGUAGGGUGCGAGUGUUGUCCGGAAUUAUUGGGCGUAAAAGAGCUCGUAGGCGGUUUGUUGCGUCGGCUGUGAAAAACCUACAGCUUAAACUGUGGGGCCUGCAGUCGAUACGGGCAGACUUGAGUUCGGCAGGGGGAGACUGGAAUUCCUGGUGUAGCGGUGAAAUGCGCAGAUAUCAGGAGGAACACCGGUGGCGAAGGCGGGGUCUCUGGGGCCGAUACUGACGCUGAGGAGCGAAAAGCGUGGGGGAGGCGAACAG